CAUACGAAUUCAUUAUCAGUCUGAUCCAACAUUUUAUUUCGUAACAAAAUUACUGAUAAUAAUCAGGAUAUAAAUCGGUCAUUUCUUUAGAGGUGAUAUUUACAAGCCAGUUGAUACUUUCAGUACUUCAAUCAAGCUCUGCCUUAAUUAUCAAUAAUUAUGAAGAUAAUUAUUUCAAAAUUUAUCUAUAUGAUGUCAUUGAUUGCACUGUUGUCAACUAGUGCAACUAAUGGAGAUAUUAUUCCUGGUCGUAUAAAGGUCAUGACAAUUCCCUUCCGCGGCUUGAUGCCUGAUAGAGCCAGAGCUUACGCAGAACUGAUAUUUUAAACAUGCAUCAGAAAACGAAAUAAUUAUUUUAUUCCUCAUAAAUUUAUAAAUCAAUUUUUAACCAAGCAAUAAUGAAUUGUGUUCUGUUAAUUAUCCGAGUUAAAUAAAUCUGACAAUCAUUAAA